rnacentral:rRNA from 1 species
GGUAUUUUGACCGUGCAAAGGUAGCAUAAUCAUUAGUUUUUUAAUUGAAAGCUGGAAUGAAAGGUUGGAUGAGAAAAAAGCUGUCUCUAUUUAAUUUAUUUAGAAUUUUAUUUUUAAGUUAAAAAGCUUAAAUUUAGAUAAAAGACGAGAAGACCCUAUAGAGUUUUAUUAGUUUUUUUUAUAGAGUUAAUGGUAUUUUUUGUCUUUAUAGGAAAAAUUAAUUUAGUUGGGGUGAUUGAAAAAUUGAAUUAACUUUUUUUUUAUAUUUACAUUAAUAAAUGGUUAUUUGAUCCUUAAUUUAAGAUUAAAAGAUAAAAUUACCUUAGGGAUAACAGCGUAAUUUUUUUUAAGAGUUCAAAUCGAAAGAAAAGAUUGCGACCUCGAUGUUGGAUUAAAAUAAAAUUUUGGUGUAGAAGCUAAAA